rnacentral:tRNA from 1 species
GAGGGUAUAGCUCAGUGGUAGAGUGUGUGCUUAGCAUGCACAAGGUCCUGGGUUCAAUCCCCAGUGCCUCCA